rnacentral:rRNA from 1 species
UACGUAGGGGGCUAGCGUUGUCCGGAAUCAUUGGGCGUAAAGCGCGCGUAGGCGGCCAGAUAAGUCCGGUGUGAAAGUCACAGGCUCAACCUGUGAAUGCCGCUGGAAACUGUCUGGCUUGAGUCCGGAAGGGGCGAGUGGAAUUCCUGGUGUAGCGGUGAAAUGCGCAGAUAUCAGGAGGAACACCGGUGGCGAAGGCGGAUCUCUGGGCCUUGCCUGACGCUGAGGCGCGAAAGCUAGGGGAGCGAACAGG